rnacentral:rRNA from 1 species
UACGGAGGGUGCAAGCGUUAUCCGGAUUCACUGGGUUUAAAGGGUGCGUAGGCGGGCAGGUAAGUCAGUGGUGAAAUCUCCGAGCUUAACUCGGAAACUGCCAUUGAUACUAUUUGUCUUGAAUAUUGUGGAGGUAAGCGGAAUAUGUCAUGUAGCGGUGAAAUGCUUAGAUAUGACAUAGAACACCGAUUGCGAAGGCAGCUUACUACACAAUGAUUGACGCUGAGGCACGAAAGCGUGGGGAUCAAACAGG